ensembl:lncRNA
CCGCCCGGAGGUGUUGCACAGAAAGAUGGAAAGUUGUCUCCUUUCAGCUCAGCGGCUGGAAAAAAAAAACAACCAAAAAAACCCAACGACCACAAGGAAAUCAAUAAACACCUGUUAUUCCCAGAUCCGUAGUUACUUGGACUCAAAGGUGCCUGCAGGCAAAGUUAAAACAAAACCCCCGCAGAACUCUGCAGCACUGUGUUCCUGCUCUGUGAUUCACGGGGCGGUGGGCGAUGGUGAGCAGCAGAGCCUGGCUGGGACCCCCCCGGCAGUGACAUGGGGGAUGCCGCGCAGCCAGCCCCAUCCACAGGAUGAGAUUUAUGGCCACGUGCCGGAGGUUUCGUGCCUCUGCUCAGAAGUGACAUUUGCGGCACGCUUCUGGGCAGUGUUGCUUCUCCAGCGUUGACCCCAGCUGAGGCAAGAAUUUAAAGCCAGAGGGGUCUUGAGUUCUCUUGUCCUCUCCAUCCAUUGAGCUCUUCUCAAUUACUGAUUUUUCUAGUCCAAAACUCGAGUUUAACUGAGGCUUCUGCUCAAGAAAGGCACUGAAUUUGGGAUUAAAACUGUCACACAGAGAAUCAAUCCUUCCUUCCCCAACACCUCCCAGAGGGAAAUCACCCUUGUUGUAAGAAACGUGUCCUUGGAUUCUCAUUGGAGUUGCCCAACUUCAGCUUCACCACCCGACCUUUGUUUUCCCAAGGUAAAGAACACAUUUCUAUGUCACCUUUAACGCCAGCGAUGGUUUUUUUCCCGAUUACUAUUAUUGACUUCAGGAUAGUUACGCUCUUGCCUGGCGCCGGGUCCAGCCCCAGUCCUGCAGAUGCUGGAUCUGUGCCCUUCCACGGUGGGAUGGGUUCCCUCUCCACCCACCUGCACUUCUCCACCAGCCACCGCUCCUGGCUUAACCUGCCGCAGCCCCCAGCUCCUCAACCACCUGCCCAUGUUUGAGAACAUCUGCUUCGCACAAAACCAACUGACUGGCGCCAGUAUGCUCACACCCCUCCCAGUUGCUUAGAUAAACUGAAUCCCAUGUUCCUAAUUCAACCUGAAUAUUAUUACCAACAUCUUCUCACUGUACUGUUACUGGCAUCUGCUUUUGAGUGCUGGCAGAAAUGGAGGUGAGGGCUCAUUUCUGGAUGAGCCCAGGGACCUGCUAAAGAUGGACAUCAGCAGUGCCGGGGGGCUGCUGGCUUAGGGGGCCAUGCCUGCUCUAGAUCCUUGUUUAAUUGCACUUCAGCUCAUCACUACCAAACUUCUUAAGUGCUUCAUGGCUUUUCUUUGCUAAGUUUGUCAAAAUCCCCCUUUUGAAAUAAGAACUGUGAAGACUUCUAUGUUUUCUACUUCAUAUUUUCCGCUUCACCAUCUUCAUCUCAUUGUGGUCUUAGAAGAUUGCCAAGAUUUCUGUUUCUAUUACACUUUAAAAAUUGUAUAUCCCCAACUGUAACCAUUUUCCUGCUAUCUUUAGCUUUCCUCACCCAUGUUCUGCUGCCCACAGCUUCUGGUUUAUUUUUUUUUUUUACCUAUUGCCCUGGUUUCCUUUUGUCAUCUUGGUUUUCUAUUUUAAUUGCUGACUUUAUAUUGCUAAUAAACUGAGACGCCU